rnacentral:lncRNA from 1 species
UUGUGUUUGUGUGUGUGUGAUAAAAGAGAGAGAUGAGAGGGACAUUUCCUGAGUGAAAGGAGAGGCUAGGGCUACUAGCCUUCAACCCUAUUACUGUGAAAUUAAUUCAUGUUAGAAAAGACAAACUCUUAAUAUUUUAAGAAAUCAAUGAAUUUUGGAGCUUUUCUGUGUAUAUCUAAAUACUGAAAAUCAAAAUAGACAUUGAUCUGUACAGUUAGUCAUGACAUUCGUAAAAUUAACCACUAAAUACAACCCUUUGGUGGAAGAGAUAGAUGAGAGAAAAUGAUUUUGUGAUUUUCUCGCUGCUUGAAAAUUGACAAACUUAUCAUAAAUCUUUAGAAGUAUUUCAAAAAGAAGUUGUGACUUCAUCUCUUGAAUUAAUAACCUGGAAAUAACACACAUGAUGGAAGGAAAUGUUAAGUGUAAAUUAUGUUGGGAAAUCUGUUUUUUUAGAGCAAAAAAAUGGUAAUUAUGUCCCUUUAUACUAAUCUAUACUACUUUAUGUCCUAUUAGACUAAUUUUUUCCAAAAUGGCAGU